rnacentral:rRNA from 1 species
UAUCACCUACGGGGCGCAGCAGUGGGGAAUAUUGCACAAUGGGGGAAACCCUGAUGCAGCGACGCCGCGUGAAGGAAGAAGUAUUUCGGUGUGUAAACUUCUAUCAGCAGGGAAGAAAGACGGUACCUGACUAAGAAGCCCCGGCUAACUACGUGCCAGCAGCCGCGGUAAUACGUAGGGGGCAAGCGUUAUCCGGAUUUACUGGGUGUAAAGGGAGCGUAGACGGCAUAGCAAGUCUGAAGUGAAAGCCCGUGGCUCAACCGCGGAACUGCUUUGGAAACUGUUAAGCUGGAGUACUGGAGAGG